rnacentral:rRNA from 1 species
GACGAACGCUGGCGGCGUGCUUAACACAUGCAAGUCGAACGGAAAGGCCCUGCUUUUGUGGGGUGCUCGAGUGGCGAACGGGUGAGUAACACGUGAGUAACCUGCCCUUGACUUUGGGAUAACUUCAGGAAACUGGGGCUAAUACCGGAUAGGAGCUCCCGCUGCAUGGUGGGGGUUGGAAAGUUUCGGCGGUCGGGGAUGGACUCGCGGCUUAUCAGCUUGUUGGUGGGGUAGUGGCUUACCAAGGCUUUGACGGGUAGCCGGCCUGAGAGGGUGACCGGGCACAUUGGGACUGAGAUACGGCCCAGACUCCUACAGGGGGCAACAGUGGGGAAUAUUGCACAGUGGGCGGAAGCCUGAUGCAGCAACGCCGCGUGCGGGAUGACGGCCUGCGGGUUGUAAACCGCUUUCGCCUGUGACGAAGCGUGAGUGACGGUAAUGGGUAAAGAAGCACCGGCUAACUACGUG